rnacentral:rRNA from 1 species
CUCUGCAAGCAAGCUAGUGCCUGAAGAUGAGUCCGCGGCCCAUCAGCUAGUUGGCGGGGUAACGGCCCACCAAGGCUACGACGGGUAGCUGGUCUGAGAGGACGAUCAGCCACACUGGAACUGAGACACGGUCCAGACUCCUACGGGAGGCAGCAGUGGGGAAUCUUGCGCAAUGGGCGAAAGCCUGACGCAGCAACGCCGCGUGAGUGAUGAAGGUCUUCGGAUCGUAAAGCUCUUUCGGCAGGGAAGAACGGCACCCGGGUGAACAAUCCGGGGGCGUGACGGUACCUGCAGAAGAAGCACCGGCUAACUCUGUGCCAGCAGCCGCGGUAAUACAGAGGGUGCAAGCGUUGUUCGGAAUUAUUGGGCGUAAAGCGCGUGUAGGCGGGAUGGCAAGUCGGGUGUGAAAGCCCUCAGCUCAACUGAGGAAGUGCGCCCGAAACUACCGUUCUUGAGUGCCAGAGAGGGUGGCGGAAUUCCCGGUGUAGAGGUGAAAUUCGUAGAUAUCGGGAGGAACACCAGUGGCGAAGGCGGCCACCUGGAUGGACACUGACGCUGAGACGCGAAAGCGUGGGGAGCAAACAGGAUUAGAU